UGGGGAAUUUUGGACAAUGGGCGCAAGCCUGAUCCAGCAAUGCCGCGUGCAGGAUGAAGGCCUUCGGGUUGUAAACUGCUUUUGUACGGAGCGAAAAGGUCUGCCCUAAUAUGGUGGGCUCAUGACGGUACCGUAAGAAUAAGCACCGGCUAACUACGUGCCAGCAGUCGCGGUAAUACGUAGGGUGCGAGCGUUAAUCGGAAUUACUGGGCGUAAAGCGUGCGCAGGCGGUUAUAUAAGACAGAUGUGAAAUCCCCGGGCUCAACCUGGGACCUGCAUUUGUGACUGUAUAGCUAGAGUACGGUAGAGGGGGAUGGAAUUCCGCGUGUAGCAGUGAAAUGCGUAGAUAUGCGGAGGAACACCGAUGGCGAAGGCGGCGAUCUGGGUCGAUACUGACGCUGAGGUGCGAAAGCGUGGGGAGCAAACA
rnacentral:rRNA from 1 species